AAAGUGGCGUGGUAACCAGGCAACUACUGAUCAAUCCCCUCCCCGGCUGAUUUGCGCAUCAGGACCUGACAGACAUCUACUUGCUGCGCUCCUACAUCCAUCUGCGCUAUGUGGAUAUUUCUGAGAACCACCUGACAGACCUGUCUCCACUCAACUACCUCACCCACCUGCUCUGGCUCAAGGCUGAUGGCAAUCGGCUGCGAAGUGCCCAGAUGAAUGAACUGCCCUACCUGCAGAUUGCUAGUUUUGCUUAUAACCAGAUUACUGACACUGAAGGCAUCUCU
rnacentral:lncRNA from 1 species